UACGGGGGGGGCAAGCGUUGUUCGGAAUUACUGGGCGUAAAGGGCUCGUAGGUGGCCAACUAAGUCAGACGUGAAAUCCCUCAGCUUAACUGGGGAACUGCGUCCGAUACUGGAUGGCUGGAGGUUGGGAGAGGGAUGCGGAAUUCCAGGUGUAGCGGUGAAAUGCGUAGAUAUCUGGAGGAACACCGGUGGCGAAGGCGGCAUCCUGGACCAAUUCUGACGCUGAGGAGCGAAAGCCAGGGGAGCAAACGGG
rnacentral:rRNA from 1 species